GGGUUGUGAGGUUAAGCGACUAAGCGUACACGGUGGAUGCCCUGGCAGUCAGAGGCGAUGAAGGACGUGCUAAUCUGCGAAAAGCGUCGGUAAGGUGAUAUGAACCGUUAUAACCGGCGAUGUCCGAAUGGGGAAACCCAGUGUGAUUCGUCACACUAUCGUUAACUGAAUACAUAGGUUAACGAGGCGAACCGGGGGAACUGAAACAUCUAAGUACCCCGAGGAAAAGAAAUCAACCGAGAUUCCCCCAGUAGCGGCGAGCGAACGGGGAGCAGCCCAGAGUCUGAAUCAGCUUGUGUGUUAGUGGAACGGUCUGGAAAGUCCGACGGUACAGGGUGAUAGUCCCGUACACCAAAAUGCACAGGCUGUGAACUCGAAGAGUAGGGCGGGACACGUGGUAUCCUGUCUGAAUAUGGGGGGACCAUCCUCCAAGGCUAAAUACUCCUGACUGACCGAUAGUGAACCAGUACCGUGAGGGAAAGGCGAAAAGAACCCCGGCGAGGGGAGUGAAAAAGAACCUGAAACCGUGUACGUACAAGCAGUGGGAGCACCUUCGGGUGUGACUGCGUACCUUUUGUAUAAUGGGUCAGCGACUUAUAUUCUGUAGCAAGGUUAACCGUAUAGGGGAGCCGCAGGGAAACCGAGUCUUAACUGGGCGUUAAGUUGCAGGGUAUAGACCCGAAACCCGGUGAUCUAGCCAUGGGCAGGUUGAAGGUUGGGUAACACUAACUGGAGGACCGAACCGACUAAUGUUGAAAAAUUAGCGGAUGACUUGUGGCUGGGGGUGAAAGGCCAAUCAAACCGGGAGAUAGCUGGUUCUCCCCGAAAGCUAUUUAGGUAGCGCCUCGUGAACUCAUCUUCGGGGGUAGAGCACUGUUUCGGCUAGGGGGUCAUCCCGACUUACCAACCCGAUGCAAACUACGAAUACCGAAGAAUGUUAUCACGGGAGACACACGGCGGGUGCUAACGUCCGUCGUGAAGAGGGAAACAACCCAGACCGCCAGCUAAGGUCCCAAAGUCAUGGUUAAGUGGGAAACGAUGUGGGAAGGCACAGACAGCCAGGAUGUUGGCUUAGAAGCAGCCAUCAUUUAAAGAAAGCGUAAUAGCUCACUGGUCGAGUCGGCCUGCGCGGAAGAUGUAACGGGGCUAAACCAUGCACCGAAGCUGCGGCAGCGACACUAUGUGUUGUUGGGUAGGGGAGCGUUCUGUAAGCCUGCGAAGGUGUGCUGUGAGGCAUGCUGGAGGUAUCAGAAGUGCGAAUGCUGACAUAAGUAACGAUAAAGCGGGUGAAAAGCCCGCUCGCCGGAAGACCAAGGGUUCCUGUCCAACGUUAAUCGGGGCAGGGUGAGUCGACCCCUAAGGCGAGGCCGAAAGGCGUAGUCGAUGGGAAACAGGUUAAUAUUCCUGUACUUGGUGUUACUGCGAAGGGGGGACGGAGAAGGCUAUGUUAGCCGGGCGACGGUUGUCCCGGUUUAAGCAUGUAGGCUGAUUGUCCAGGCAAAUCCGGAUAAUCAAGGCUGAGGUGUGAUGACGAGGCACUACGGUGCUGAAGUAACAAAUGCCCUGCUUCCAGGAAAAGCCUCUAAGCAUCAGGUAACAUUAAAUCGUACCCCAAACCGACACAGGUGGUCAGGUAGAGAAUACCAAGGCGCUUGAGAGAACUCGGGUGAAGGAACUAGGCAAAAUGGUGCCGUAACUUCGGGAGAAGGCACGCUGGUGUGUAGGUGAAGUCCCUGCGGAUGGAGCUGAGACCAGUCGAAGAUACCAGCUGGCUGCAACUGUUUAUUAAAAACACAGCACUGUGCAAACACGAAAGUGGACGUAUACGGUGUGACGCCUGCCCGGUGCCGGAAGGUUAAUUGAUGGGGUUAUCCGUAAGGAGAAGCUCUUGAUCGAAGCCCCGGUAAACGGCGGCCGUAACUAUAACGGUCCUAAGGUAGCGAAAUUCCUUGUCGGGUAAGUUCCGACCUGCACGAAUGGCGUAAUGAUGGCCAGGCUGUCUCCACCCGAGACUCAGUGAAAUUGAACUCGCUGUGAAGAUGCAGUGUACCCGCGGCAAGACGGAAAGACCCCGUGAACCUUUACUAUAGCUUGACACUGAACAUUGAGCCUUGAUGUGUAGGAUAGGUGGGAGGCUUUGAAGCGUGGACGCCAGUCUGCGUGGAGCCAACCUUGAAAUACCACCCUUUAAUGUUUGAUGUUCUAACGUUGGCCCCUGACCGGGGUUGCGGACAGUGUCUGGUGGGUAGUUUGACUGGGGCGGUCUCCUCCCAAAGCGUAACGGAGGAGCACGAAGGUUAGCUAAUCCUGGUCGGACAUCAGGAGGUUAGUGCAAUGGCAUAAGCUAGCUUGACUGCGAGCGUGACGGCGCGAGCAGGUGCGAAAGCAGGUCAUAGUGAUCCGGUGGUUCUGAAUGGAAGGGCCAUCGCUCAACGGAUAAAAGGUACUCCGGGGAUAACAGGCUGAUACCGCCCAAGAGUUCAUAUCGACGGCGGUGUUUGGCACCUCGAUGUCGGCUCAUCACAUCCUGGGGCUGAAGUAGGUCCCAAGGGUAUGGCUGUUCGCCAUUUAAAGUGGUACGCGAGCUGGGUUUAGAACGUCGUGAGACAGUUCGGUCCCUAUCUGCCGUGGGCGCUGGAGAAUUGAGGGGGGCUGCUCCUAGUACGAGAGGACCGGAGUGGACGCAUCACUGGUGUUCGGGUUGUCAUGCCAAUGGCACUGCCCGGUAGCUAAAUGCGGAAGAGAUAAGUGCUGAAAGCAUCUAAGCACGAAACUUGCCCCGAGAUGAGUUCUCCCUGAGACUUUAAGUCUCCUGAAGGAACGUUGAAGACGAUGACGUUGAUAGGCCGGGUGUGUAAGCGCAGCGAUGCGUUGAGCUAACCGGUACUAAUGAACCGUGAGGCUUAACCUUACAACGCCGAAG
rnacentral:rRNA from 1 species